rnacentral:rRNA from 1 species
AUGACUAACAGCCAGAACCUUAGAAGGCUAAGUUUGAUGGAAAGGCUAUGCAUUGCUCUAGAUGUUGCGGAGGCAUUAGAAUAUCUUCACCAUCAAAUUGAGCCAUCCAUAGUUCACUGUGAUAUCAAACCAUGCAACAUCCUUCUGGAUGAUGACUUUGUUGCGCACAUCACCGACUUUGGUCUAGCAAGGAUAAUGCAUACUGAAGAAUGUGAGCACAGUGGUGGUGGAACUGAAAGCAGCUCAUUUGUGAUUAAAAGCACAAUUGGAUAUGUCACACCAGAGUAUGGCUCGGGAUCUGAAUCCUCCACAGAAGGUGACGUAUAUAGCUACGAGAUGUUGCUAUUAGAAAUAUUUACUGGAAGGAGGCCAACCGACAAUUUCAUGGAUGGUGUGAUAAGCCAUGUCAAAUAUGUCAGGGUGGCCUAUCCUGAUAAGCUACUGAACAUAUUGGAUGCUAGUGCAACCUACAACGGAGACACAUGGCAUAUCAUAGAUAUGUUCUUGUAUCCUAUGUUUAAACUUGGCCUAGCUUGCUGCGAGGAUUCCUCAAGGCACAAAAUGAAGAUCGAAAAGGUGUGA